UACGUAGGCAGCAAGCGUUGUUCGGAGUUACUGGGCGUAAAGGGUGUGUAGGCGGUUGUUUAAGUUUGGUGUGAAAUCUCCCGGCUCAACUGGGAGGGUGCGCCGAAUACUGAAUGACUAGAGUGCGGGAGAGGAUAGUGGAAUUCCUGGUGUAGCGGUGAAAUGCGUAGAUAUCUGGAGGAAUACCGGUGGCGAAGGCGGCAUCCUGGACCAUUACUGACGCUGAGGCGCGAAAGCCAGGGGAGCAAACGGG
rnacentral:rRNA from 1 species